CCUCUCUCAGGGUCACACCUGGAGAGUUUCCAGGAGUCUACCAGUCUCCAUGACAAGAGGGAGAGUCAGGCAGAGGGAUAUCCAUUCCAUUCCUAGCUUGGGCAGUGGCUAGCGAGUGGAAGGCCAUCCGCUACAAGU